AGACGGUGACGUUUAGCAAAUCCCAGAAAUAACGUCCCAGUUCGGAUUGUAGUCUGCAACCCGACUACAUGAAGCUGGAAUCGCUAGUAAUCGCGAAUCAGGAUGUCGCGGUGAAUACGUUCCCGGGUCUUGUACACACCGCCCGUCACACCAUGGGAGUCGGAAAUGCCCGAAGUCGGUAGUCUAACCGCAAGGAGGACGCCGCCGAAGGUGGGGUUGAUGAUUAGGGUUAAGUCGUAACAAGGUAUC
rnacentral:rRNA from 1 species